UCUGUGGUGACGCGGAAUAUGAAGGAAGCGUGCGGUAGACUUCCGCUCUGAGGAACACGAACUUUAUACAAAGCUGGGCAUCAUCAGGAGGAGUUUGUUAGACAAAACAAGGACUUUUCUACUAAAGGUGAUACUGAGUAAAUGAAGCACAUGGACAGAAGAAGUCUGUC
rfam:Geobacillus caldoxylosilyticus NBRC 107762 DNA, contig: GCA01S064.